CCCGCUAUAACCCAAAUGGACACUUUUUAUUUGAUCUUCUUAAUGAUUACCAUCGAAGGAACCUCCUCGUUGCGGAAUACUCUUGCGUUUCUCUCUCAGCAAACCUCCCAGCAGGAAAUACUGUUAACAAGUCAAGGAAGAUUUAUCUAUCGUGUGUACCUAAGACGGGGAUAAUCACCCAUUAUACAUUUAUGAAUACAAAGUUGCAGUUCAAACAAUCUGACAUGUACCUAAGACGGGGAUAAUCACCCAUUAUACAUUUAUGAAUACAAAGUUGCAGUUCAAACAAUCUGACAUAAAUAUACACUCCUCCGUCCCAAAACAGACGAAGGAUUUUUUUUUAAUAUAGAAAAUAUGUUAAUAUCUUGAAGAUAUCAAAAAUAAAAUAUCGAAAGACAAGGAUGCGCACAAAAAAAUAGACGGAGGGAAUAUAUGACAGGAAUGUCUCGUUGUGAUCCAUAUCCACUGUCGCCACUAGAUAUACGGAGCAGGAAUCGGUUGGUACCAGCAGUUGACGAAGACCCACGCGCAUGCACUGACCGUCCUGCAGUCCGGCAACCCUCCCACGGGCCAGUCUCACUCGGUUUCAUACUUUCAUUCGAUUCCUUGCCCACUAUGCUCUGUCCAGCGAACGCGGCCGAUGUACUGCGUUUUCCAUAUGCUCUCUACACCCAAGGCGGCCGAUGUAAUCCAGUGCGUGGGAAUCGAAUCGUUGAACGUCAAGUGGGCUCCUACCGUCUCUUUUACAAAAGGGCACCCAAUUUUGAAAGCAUUGGAGAAGAAGCACCACACUAUCCAUUCUUCUUCUUCUUCUUCCACGCAUCCAGCCAUGUCACCGGCGGUCUUCGGGCUUCCUCUUCCCAUCACCCUUCACUUGUGCAUCGUCCUCGUAGCCUGACACUGGCGGUGGGAGUUUUAACCUCCUUUUCGAAGAAAAAAAAGUGUUUGUGCGGCUCUGGCACCAUGGCAGCCUGCAUGACUGGAUUCUCAGCUGAGCCGCCAACCCAACCAUGUUUGCAUCGCCCACACAUAAAUGUGUCUAGUUUGUCGAUCAAACCAUGAGAGCUGCUAAAAAGCACUCAGAGUGAGAGUAUCAUUUUGCGAGCACCUUAACUUUCAUCCAAAUAAGUGUAGUGUUUUUCGGCUGAAAAAUUACUCCACUUUGUGUCUCACAGACACUUCCAUAUAUAUAUUUAUUAAAUACUAGCUAGCGAAUUUGGAGAAAUGAGAUGACCCGAACUCCCUGGUCGCUGGCUUCCUGAUUUACUAAUGCUAGAGCUAACAACGAGAGGUGGUGGCAUGCCAUGCACAGACUCUCCUUCCCUCCAGAUUCUACACUACUUUACUUCCAUCAAGAAGGUCACCCGCUAUGCUGGAAAAAGAAUAACAAGUAGCACCUCACUACGUGAACAAGCUAGCAUGACACAACCACCGGGAAAUAAACUGAAUGAAGCGCCUUCCACUUGCUUGGUUUUCCUCCAGUAUCUCAGAGCUCAUGGACAUAUUGAAUGGGGGUGGAAACCAAAAUGUAAGUCAAGCAUAACACAUUAGCGCGGAUUAUCGCUCUUGAUCUACAUGUAGUUUUGUUUUGAAGCAACUUCCUGGAAGCAUAUAUAUAGUACCU
rnacentral:lncRNA from 1 species